AUUGAACGCUAGCGGGAUGCUUUACACAUGCAAGUCGAACGAGUGGCGGACGGGUGAGUAAUAUAUCGGAACGUGCCCAGUGGCGGGGGAUAACUACUCGAAAGGGUAGCUAAUACCCAAUACUAUAGGAGCGGCCAAGAUCGGAUUAGCUAGUGGGUGGGGUAAAGGCUCCCCAAGGCGACGAUCCCAAGCUGGUUUGAGAGGACGACCAGCUCCACUGGGACAGGGAAACGGCCCGGACUCCUACGGAGGGGAGCAGUGGGGAAGUUUGGACAAGGGGCGAAACCCUGAUCCAGCCAUCCCGCGUGUAUGAGAAGGCCUUCGGGUUGUAAAGGACUUUUAGCAGUGAAGCGGUAACUGCAGAAUAAGCACCGGCUAACUACGUGCCAGCGGCCGCGGUAAUUC
rnacentral:rRNA from 1 species